GGUUGUGGCCCAGUGUUAGGGUAUCUGUUUUGCAUGCAGAAGGUGCCAAGAUCAAUUCCUGGCAUAGCCA